AAGUGAUACCCAGGAUAGUAAUCUGUACUUAAAUUCAGUUGACCCUUGGUUAAUUCUAUGACUACCCCCUUUAAAUUAUGGGUGUACCUUUAAUUCGAUUGAACUUAGUAUAUAACAUAACUUGCAGCAGAUGUUUCUUGUCCUGGUGAAUACGAGAUUCGGAAAAUGAAGAAAGGGUCCAUAUUAUGGGUAUGUGUUUUGAUGUUAUUAAUGUCUGAAGUAGAAUGCUAUGGUCUUCAAAGGCGUUCCGUAACAGGUUUUCUAUCGAACAUAUUUGAAUUCUUGAAGGAAGCAGUCCAAAUGGUAGUGCGCACUGUAACACAUUUCGUAGCGACUUCCUGGCCAGUUGAAUCAGUAUGUGGGACAUACUUUUAUUUGAAGAA